rnacentral:rRNA from 1 species
UUACACAUGCAAGUCGAACGCAUCCUUCGGGGUGAGUGGCAGACGGGUGAGUAACGCGUGGGAACGUGCCCUUCAGUUUGGAAUAACCCAGGGAAACUUGGGCUAAUACCGGAUACGUGCGAGAGCAGAAAGAUUUAUCGCUGAAGGAUCGGCCCGCGUCUGAUUAGCUAGUUGGUGAGGUAAUGGCCCACCGAGGCGACGAUCAGUAGCUGGUCUGAGAGGAUGAUCAGCCACAUUGGGACUGAGACACGGCCCAAACUCCUACGGGAGGCAGCAGUGGGGAAUAUUGGACAAUGGGCGCAAGCCUGAUCCAGCCAUGCCGCGUGAUUGAUGACGGCCUUGGGGUUGUAAAGCUCUUUCGCACGCGACGAUAAUGACGGUAGCGUGGGAAGAAGCCCCGGCUAACUUCGGGCCAGCAGCCGCGGUAAUACGAGGGGGCCUAGCGUUGUUCGAAAUCACUGGGCGUAAAGGGCGCGUAGGCGGCU